UACUCCUACGGGAGGCAGAGUGGGGAAUCUUGGACAAUGGGGGCAACCCUGAUCCAGCAAUGCCGCGUGGGUGAAGAAGGCCUUCGGGUUGUAAAGCCCUUUCGGCGGGGAAGAAAUCGGCCGGGCGAAUAGUCCGGUCGGAUGACGGUACCCGCAGA
rnacentral:rRNA from 1 species